UUACUCUGCAAUACUGCGAAUCGAAUACGACCGAGACCGCGAAUGCUGCCGAAGAUUUGAGAUUUGUUCGCCCCUUUUAUAUAUCUAGGGUUUACAAAUUCCCUCUGCAUACUUGAUACUUGAUCUUCAAGUUCCUCACAAAUUUUCAAUCUAGCUUUUCGUUUCUGCGUUUCGAAACUUCAAAGCCAUGGCUCGUAACGAAGAGAAAGCUCAGUCGAUGCUGAAUCGAUUCAUCACCAUGAAAGAGCAGGAGAAGAAGAAACCGAAGGAGCGGCGUCCGUACCUCGCCUCCGAGUGCCGAGACUUGGCGGAAGCGGACAAGUGGCGUCAGCAGAUCAUGCGUGAGAUCGGACGGAAGGUUGCUGAGGUCCAGAACGAAGGUCUCGGGGAGCACCGGCUUCGCGACCUCAACGACGAGAUUAAUAAGCUCAUACGUGAGAAGUUGCACUGGGAGCGACGCAUUGUCGAGCUCGGCGGUCCUAACUACACCAAACACUCAGCUAAGAUGACGGAUCUAGAGGGCAACAUCGUCGACGUCCCCAACCCCAGUGGUCGUGGUCCCGGUUACCGGUACUUUGGAGCCGCUAAGAAGCUCCCUGGUGUAAGAGAAUUGUUUGAGAAACCACCGGAGCUGCGUAAAAGAAGGACGAGAUACGAUAUUUAUAAGAGGAUUGAUGCCAGUUAUUACGGGUACAGAGACGAUGAGGAUGGAGUUCUCAAAAAAGUGGAGAAGCCAGCGGAGGAAAAGAUGAGGAAGGAAGCUGUGGAGGAGUGGCGGAGGAUGGAGGAUAUAAGGAAGGAGGCGAGGAAAGGAGUGAGUGAGGUGGUGAGUGUGGGGCCUGCAGUGAAGGAGCUGUUGGUUGAGGAAGAGGAAGACGUGGUGGAGGAGGAAAGGAUGAAGGAGAGGGAGGAGAAUGAGAGGAGAGAUAGGGAGAGGGAGUUUGUGGCACACGUGCCACUGCCAGACGAGAAGUUGAUUGAAAGAAUGGUGGUGGAGAAGAAGAAGAUGGAACUGCUGAGCAAAUAUGCUACCCAAGAUUUGCUGGAGGGGCAGAGCGAGGCCAAGGCAAUGCUCAAUAUUCAGCGCUAAAAGGUCAUGAUGAGUUUGAAAAUUUUAGCAGUUUGGCUACCCAUGUCUAAGACACCAUUGCUUUUGGAGGAUAUCCCUGGUUUGAGAAUUGAGAAGCUAAGCUGGAAAAAGGAUUGUGACUGUGCACUUGAGAGUUUCUAUCUAAAUGUUGCUGCAACAGUAGUCUCUGGCAUCAAAUUGCUGUCCCAGUUGCUCGAAAGCCCGACUGGAAAGUUCACCAGGUGCGGUUAGGCUUAUUGUUUGUAAUCCAUUUUUCAGAAUGAGAAGUUGACAGCUUGACUUCCUUUUGUAAAUAUGUCAUUAGACAACGAGAUUAGUAUUGAAAGCUUGUAUUAUUGAUUUUGCUGUAAUAUGACACCAAAAUCGUUCAAAAUUUGAAACUACAAA